rnacentral:rRNA from 1 species
CAGCCGCCACGGUAAUACAGAGGAUGCAAGCGUUAUCCGGAAUGAUUGGGCGUAAAGCGCGCGCAGGCGGAUCGGUCAGUCUGUCUUAAAAGUUCGGGGCUUAACCCCGUGAUGGGAUGGAAACUGCCAAUCUAGAGUAUCGGAGAGGAAAGUGGAAUUCCUAGUGUAGCGGUGAAAUGCGUAGAUAUUAGGAAGAACACCAGUGGCGGAGGCGACUUUCUGGACGAAAACUGACGCUGAGGCGCGAAAGCCAGGGGAGCGAACGGGAUUAGAUACCCGGGUAGUCCCUGUCUCUUAUACC